UUGCCAUGAUGAGUACCUGAACUUUUUGGAAGGCUUAAUGCAAAUGCCUGAUGAAAUUUGAAUCUGAGCGGUUAACUGAGCAA